rnacentral:rRNA from 1 species
CCUACGGGGUGCAGCAGUGGGGAAUAUUGGACAAUGGGCGAAAGCCUGAUCCAGCCAUGCCGCGUGUGUGAAGAAGGCCUUCGGGUUGUAAAGCACUUUCAGUGGGGAAGAAAGCCUUGGGGCUAAUACCCUCGAGGAAGGACAUCACCCACAGAAGAAGCACCGGCUAACUCCGUGCCAGCAGCCGCGGUAAUACGGAGGGUGCGAGCGUUAAUCGGAAUUACUGGGCGUAAAGCGCGCGUAGGCGGUCUGAUAAGCCGGUUGUGAAAGCCCCGGGCUCAACCUGGGAACGGCAUCCGGAACUGUCAGGCUAGAGUGCAGGAGAGGAAGGGAGAAUUCCCGGUGUAGCGGUGAAAUGCGUAGAGAUCGGGAGGAAUACCAGUGGCGAAGGCGGCCUUCUGGACUGACACUGACGCUGAGGUGCGAAAGCGUGGGUAGCAAACAGGAUUAGAUACCCGAGUAGUC